rnacentral:rRNA from 1 species
UACGUAGGGUGCAAGCGUUGUCCGGAAUUAUUGGGCGUAAAGAGCUCGUAGGCGGUUUGUUGCGUCGGCUGUGAAAUCCCGAGGCUCAACCUCGGGUCUGCAGUCGAUACGAGCAAACUAGAGUGUUGCAGGGGAGACUGGAAUUCCUGGUGUAGCGGUGAAAUGCGCAGAUAUCAGGAGGAACACCGAUGGCGAAGGCAGGUCUCUGGGCCAUAACUGACGCUGAGGUGCGAAAGCGUGGGGAGCAAACAGG